GACGAACGCUGGCGGCGUGCCUAAUACAUGCAAGUCGAACGCAGUGGGGACGGGUGAGUAACACGUGGGUAACCUCCCAUCAGAGGGGAUAACACUUGGAAACAGGUGCUAAACCGAUACUGAUGGAUGGACCCGCGGGGCAUUAGCUAGUUGGUGGGGUAACGGCUCACCAAGGCAAAGAUGCAUAGCCGACCGGAGAGGGUGAUCGGCCAAAUGGGGACUGGGACACGGCCCAGACUCCUACGGUAGGCAGCAGUAGGGAAUCUUCGGCAAGGGACGAAAGUCGGACCGAGCAACGCGGCGUGAGGGAAGAAGGUUUUCGGAUCGUAAAACUCUGUUGUUAGAGAAGCGGUAUCUAACCAGAAAGCCACGGCUAACUACGUGCCAGCAGCCGCGGUAAUUC
rnacentral:rRNA from 1 species